UGGGACACCAUUGCCCGAACGAACCAGCGAUAUGGAGCGAUCCGAGUAAUUGCCCUCGGGCCCCCGUUGUUGGAUGGACGGUCGGACAGACAAGCAACCACGCGCGACUGCCUGCUACCUGUUGCAUGGCAUUCAUGAGCUAGAAGUGAGAGUUCGUACUCGCGUUCGCCCACACCCUCGAUCUGUUGCUUUCUCUUCUCGACUACCAGACGAUGGAGAUCGCGUGUUGGACGAACAAGGGGGUUUGUGGUCGUUCGUCGGAAGUCAGUCUUGUACCUGAACUCCUCAACACCGGUCGGUUGUCAUGAGUGCGGGGGUCCCAUAGGACUAUUAUGAAAGAAAGUUUGUUUUCAAGUACUGGGACUUUACGAAUUGAAGAUCUGGAGAUAGCACCACGUGCUGCAAGCGGUGAUUAAAAGACUUUUAUUCUUUUACAGAUUAGAAUUUAAAAUGAUUUUGCACGAAUGGACUUUAAAAAAUUUUGAUCAGCAAGAUUAAAAAGGAAAACAUAAUUAUUGACAACUUUCCCCCCGUGUGAUAGAUACCUCAAUAGAACUUAGUAAAUUUUUAUUACCUUAGACUCUGGAGCGAAUUGUGGUACCUUUUAUAUACUAGUGAACUUCAAGAAACUAAGCGCAACAACAAAUAAAGUGAUAUAAAAUUUUGUUAGAAAAAAAAUACAAUUUCUUCUUCGAUUAAUGGAUUUAUGAACAAAUGAAAAGUGAAAAUAUACUCAGUGGAUAAAUAGUUUUGCCGUCAAAUGUUAUUUAUUUUCGCAAAUGAGAGAUAUUAGAUUUAUAACACAGUGUUUAUAAAAAGUUAGGACAUUGUCGAUAAAUCAAAAACUAAUUUCGACGAACUUAGUUGUCGAGAAAGCGGACCUUAACAGUUUGAUGUUGUGCCUUAAUUGGAAUUUUCAGUGAUCAACAUUUCAUUAUUUCAAUCCGGAAAGACUAAACGAGCACAUUGGGACGUGUCAUUUCUCUGAAGACAGCAAUCAAGGGGAGAAAGAAUACAAGUGUCGGCAGUGCCCGAAAGUUUUUAAUUGGAAGUCCAACC
rnacentral:misc_RNA from 1 species